GUGGGGAAUAUUGGGCAAUGGGCGCAAGCCUGACCCAGCAACGCCGCGUGAGGGAAGAAGGCUUUCGGGUUGUAAACCUCUGUCCUUGGUGACGAAACAAAUGACGGUAGCCAAGGAGGAAGCCCCGGCUAACUACGUGCCAGCACCCGCGGUAAUACGUAGGGGGCGAGCGUUGUCCGGAAUUACUGGGCGUAAAGGGUGCGUAGGUGGCCUUUUAAGUUGGAUGUGAAAUACCCGGGCUUAACUUGGGGGGUGCAUCUAAUACUGGAGGGCUAGAGUGCAGGAGAGGAAAGCGGAAUUCCUAGUGUAGCGGUGAAAUGCGUAGAUAUUAGGAGGAACACCAGUGGCGAAGGCGGCUUUCUGGACUGUAACUGACACUGAGGCACGAAAGCGUGGGGAGCAAACAGGAUUAGAAACCCCUGUAGUCC
rnacentral:rRNA from 1 species